UACGGGGGGAGCAAGCGUUGUUCGGAUUUACUGGGCGUAAAGGGCGCGUAGGCGGCCAGCACAAGUCAGUCGUGAAAUCUCCGAGCUUAACUCGGAACGGUCAACUGAUACUGUGCGGCUAGAGUGCAGAAGGGGCAACUGGAAUUCUUGGUGUAGCGGUGAAAUGCGUAGAUAUCAAGAGGAACACCUGCGGCGAAGGCGGGUUGCUGGGCUGACACUGACGCUGAGGCGCGAAAGCUAGGGGAGCGAACGGG
rnacentral:rRNA from 1 species